rnacentral:rRNA from 1 species
AGCGAACGCUGGCGGCAGGCCUAAUACAUGCAAGUCGAACGAACCCUUCGGGGUUAGUGGCGGACGGGUGAGUAACACGUGGGAACGUGCCUUUAGGUUCGGAGUAACUCAGGGAAACUUGUGCUAAUACCGAAUGUGCCCUUCGGGGGAAAGAUUUAUAGCCUUUAGAGCGGCCCGCGUCUGAUUAGCUAGUUGGUGAGGUAAUGGCUCAACAAGGCUACGAUCAGUAGCUGGUCUGAGAGGAUGACCAGCCACAUUGGGACUGAGACACGGCCCAAACUCCUACGGGAGGCAGCAGUGGGGAAUCUUGCGCAAUGGGCGAAAGCCUGACGCAGCCAUGCCGCGUGGAUGAUGAAGGUCUUAGGAUUGUAAAAUCCUUUCACCGGUGAAGAUAAUGACUGUAGCCGGAGAAGAAGCCCCGGCUAACUUCGUGCCAGCAGCCGCCGUAAGAC